AUUGAACGCUGGCGGCAUGCUUUACACAUGCAAGUCGAACGGUAACAGGGAGCUUGCUCCGCUGACGAGUGGCGAACGGGUGAGUAAUGCGUCGGAACGUGCCGAGUAGUGGGGGAUAACGCAGCGAAAGUUGUGCUAAUACCGCAUACGUACUGAGGUAGAAAGUGGGGGACCUUCGGGCCUCACGCUAUUCGAGCGGCCGACGUCUGAUUAGCUAGUAGGUGAGGUAAAGGCUCACCUAGGCGACGAUCAGUAGCGGGUCUGAGAGGAUGAUCCGCCACACUGGGACCGAGCCACGGCCCAGACUCCUACGGGAGGCAGCAGUGGGGAAUUUUGGACAAUGGGCGAAAGCCUGGUCCAGCCAUGCCGCGUGUCUGAAGAAGGCCUUCGGGUUGUAAAGGACUUUUGUCGGGGAGGAAAUCCCCAGCGCUAAUACCGCUGGGGGAUGACAGUACCUGAAGAAUAAGCACCGGUUAACUACGUGCCAGCAGCCGCCGUAACAC
rnacentral:rRNA from 1 species